rnacentral:rRNA from 1 species
GUCCAUGCCGUAAACGUUGGGCACUAGGUGUGGGGCCUGUUUCCACGGGUUCUGCGCCGUAGCUAACGCAUUAAGUGCCCCGCCUGGGGAGUACGGCCGCAAGGCUAAACUCAAGGAAUUGACGGGGCCCGCACAAGCGGUGGAUGAUGUUCUUUAAUUCGAUGCAACGCGAAACCUUACCCACCUUUGACAUGUAUGGAAGAUCGCAGAGACGCGAUUGUGCUCGAAAGAGAGCCAUAACACAGGUGCUGCAUGGCUGUCGU